rnacentral:rRNA from 1 species
AUGGAGUCGCCGCCGCACAAGCUCAAUGUCGGCCGGGACGAGGACCGAAUCAGCGCGCUCACCGACGACCUCCUCGUCCGAAUCCUCGAGCGCCUCGACUUGCGCCAGGCGGUCCGCGCCGGCGCACUCUCGACGCGGUGGCGUGACCUCCCGUAUCGGCUAUCGCGCCUGCACCUCGACGUCGGUCACUUCCAAGGCGCCACGCCGCUCGAGGUCAUGGACGCUUUCACGGGCGCGGCACAGAGGUUGCUCUCUGUGGCGCUUCCUCUGGCCGAGGGCGAGGGCGGCAGUGCUGCCAUCAUUCCCAUCAAAUCCCUCAUCCUCAGCUUUUACCUGUCAUCCCCUCACCUGAGCGCCAUAGGCCGCACCGUCGAGGACGUUGUGAGCUACGGCAAGACCGAAUGCCUUGAGUUCUCCAUAUCCCCGCCGCGAGGGAGCAACGCCAACCUGCUGCUCGCGGAGAUUGGACAGCAGUUCAUCCUUACACUAAAGCGCCUUGCGUUUGGCCCUUCCGACGUCACCGAGCUCAUUAGCGCUUGCGGUAGGCUUAGGCACCUCACCCUGAAACUCUGCAGACUGAUUGAUCCACGCUCCACGCUCAAGAUCGACGUGCCGUGCUCUAGGAUCCAGGAGCUCGAGUUCUUUGGCUUUGGGUGUAGACAGAUAGAGCUCAUUUCUGCACCCAAGCUUAGGCAAGUGUGGUGCCAAAAUUGGCUCUUCGACAACCCUCCAGUGUGCUUCGGCUAUGUUCCUGAGCUUCGUGUUGUAAGACUCUUUUCUAAAACCAUGGCAUGGCAGGCGUCAUUCACGCUGAGCGAGUGCCUGUCAAAGAGUGCAACGAACCUGUCGAAAUUGCAUCUUGAUUUUCUCCACCAAAUGAUUUGGAUUCAGCCAGAACAUCCGAAGCAGCUCACUGCUAUAUUCAGAAAUCUCACCUCUGUGUUUCUUUUGGGUAUCUUCACUGAGUGUGAUCUGAGCUCGACACUAUUUUUCCUUGAAGCUGCACCUGUGCUGCAGAAUAUUGCAUUAUCUCGACAUUGUUGUAUCAUGACGCUCGAGAACAGUGCCGAGAAGACCAAUGUGUUAUCUCGACAUUGUUGUAUCAUGACGCUCGAGAACAGUGCCGAGAAGACCAAUGUGGUGUGGAAGCCAUCCAAGGAUUUGAAGCACCUGAACUUGAAGGUGCUGCUGAUCUUUGGGUGUGAGGAUGAAGAUAAGGUGACAAACUAUGUAAGGCUUGUCAUGGGACGAGCUGUGGGCUUGAACAGUAUCGUGCUGCAUGGUGAAUACCCAUGCGAGGACUGCAAUGCCACUGACCUUGAAAGACCCAAGAUGGGUAAAGAAUCCAAGGUGGGUGAAGCUAGCAGACGUCGGAUUAAGGAGCGACUCACACAUGGAUCAUCCUCAUCUGUGGAGAUAGUUAUCUGUUGA